AUGUGGAUGGCACACAAAUGGCCAGAAACAAACAUACAGUAUAAAAGAAUGUUGAACAUAAUGAGAGAAAGAAAGGAAUGUGAAUCAGGGCUGGAAAAGACUGGGGUCCACCUCAAAAAAUGUCUGAAAUCUCAGAGCUUGAGUCACACUGUCUCCUUUACAUCCAUGUAUUACCUUUGCCAGAAGACGAGAAGAGAUGUAGAGGCCGUCAGUCCACGUCAAGUGCCACGCUAGAAGAAAAAAAGGAGGAAAAAAUACCAUUGCAUGUGAAUCCUUGUGGUAACUGAGGCACUCUUCUGCAAUGAGAGGAUUAACAUUGGUUCAUUUCACUGCUCAACUUGUUUUGAAGGAGAAAAAAGUCUUCCCUAGGAGACCAUGGAGAUAGUACCAAAACAGACAGAUAGAGGGACUCUCCUGCAUGCGUAGGCAAAGUAUAUAAUCAUCUUGUAUAAGACAUAUAUUUCUUUCCUCAAAAAUUAGUUGAGUCAAAAACCUUCGAUCAAUUAUAUGUUUUGCCAUUUAUAACUCAUAGAAUACUUUAUUAAUAUUACUUGCAUAAAGUUUACAUCAAUCGUGACCAUAAAGGAUAAACAUGUUUUUAUUAAAAUGUUGUCUUAAGUUUACCAAGGAUCUUGGUCUCUAUCUUGCAGGGACCUGCUUCUCGUACAUCUCAGCACACACCAGUGUUUCGUAUCACAGAUUUGUCGGCAUUGGAAGAUCUAAAGAUCAUCUAGUGCAACCCCUCUGCUAAAGCAGGUUCCCUAGAGUAGGUUGCAGAGGACCUCUAUCUUUUCUGUCUGCUUUCCUACUAGCACAGUAUGAUGUCCUUCAAAGAGAAACGCAAAGCUUUCUGUUUGUGCUUCCCCUUUUAGAUGACUUGAUCAUUUCAAGCUAGUUGAGAGUGGUUCCUUUUUUUUCCUCAUGAAAAUUUCUGAUCAUGAGGAAAAUAUACAAUAAAGUACUAUUCUGACCGCUGGCCA
rnacentral:lncRNA from 1 species